GGUAAGAUGGCUGAGAGAUAGGCGGCGGAUUGUAAUUCUGCUUAGGGAGGUUUAAAAUUCCUCUUCUUUCCA
rnacentral:tRNA from 1 species